GGUCGACGAUUCCUACGGGAGGCAGCAGUGGGGAAUAUUGCACAAUGGGCGCAAGCCUGAUGCAGCCAUGCCGCGUGUAUGAAGAAGGCCUUCGGGUUGUAAAGUACUUUCAGCAGUAAGGAAGGUGUUGUCGUUAAUAGCGGCAUCAUUUGACGUUAGCUGCAGAAGAAGCACCGGCUAACUCCGUG
rnacentral:rRNA from 1 species